rnacentral:rRNA from 1 species
CACAGGGAGGUAGUGACAGUAAAUAACAAUGCAGGGCUCUUCGAGUCUUGCAGUUGGAAUGAGUACAAUUUAAACCCCUUAACGAGUAACAAUUGGAGGGCAAGUCUGGUGCCAGCAGCCGCGGUAAUUCCAGCUCCAAUAGCGUAUAUUAAAGUUGUUGCAGUUAAAAAGCUCGUAGUUGGACCUUAGGCAAGGCGGCCUGGUCACCCUCUGGGUGUACUGGGAUCGCUGCGCCUCACCUUCGGGGAGCUAGUCGUGCUUCGGUGCGCUAGGGAACCGAGCCUUACCUUGAGGAAAUUAGAGUGUUUAAAGCAGGCUUAUGCUUGAAUACGUUAGCAUGGAAUAACAUGAUAGGACUUUGGUUCUAUUUUGUUGGUUUGAGGACCAAAGUAAUGAUUAAUAGGGACAGUUGGGGGCAUUAGUAUUCAAUAGUCAGAGGUGAAAUUCUUGGAUUUACUGAAGACUAACUAAUGCGAAAGCAUUUGCCAAGGAUGUUUUCAUUAAUCAAGAACGAAAGUUAGGGGAUCGAAGACGAUUAGAUACCGUCGUAGUCUUAACCAUAAACUAUGCCGACUAGGGAUCGGUGGAUGUCGCUUUUGACUCCAUCGGCACCUUACGAGAAAUCAAAGUUUUUGGGUUCUGGGGGGAGUAUGGUCGCAAGGCUGAAACUUAAAGGAAUUGACGGAAGGGCACCACCAGGAGUGGAGCCUGCGGCUUAAUUUGACUCAACACGGAAAACUCACCAGGUCCGGACAUAGUAAGGAUUGACAGAUUGAGAGCUCUUUCUUGAUUCUAUGGGUGGUGGUGCAUGGCCGUUCUUAGUUGGUGGAGUGAUUUGUCUGGUUAAUUCCGAUAACGAACGAGACCUUAACCUGCUAAAUAGUGGCGCUAACCAUGUGUUGGCGUCUCACUUCUUAGAGGGACUGACUACGAUUAGUGGUCGGAAGUUUGAGGCAAUAACAGGUCUGUGAUGCCUUAGAUGUUCUGGGCUGCACGCGCGCUACACUGACAAAGUCAGCAAGUUUACAACCUUGACCGGAAGGUCUGGGCAAUCUUUUGAAACUUUGUCGUGCUGGGGAUAGACCAUUGCAAUUAUUGGUCUUCAACGAGGAAUUCCUAGUAAGCGCAAGUCAUCAGCUUGCGUUGAUUACGUCCCUGCCCUUUGUACACACCGCCCGUCGCUACUACCGAUU